rnacentral:rRNA from 1 species
ACGCACGCUGGCGGCGUGCCUCAUACAUGCAAGUAGCACGCUGAAGGCGGAGCUUGCUUCUCCGGAUGAGUUGCGAACGGGUGAGUAACGCGUAGGUAACCUGCCUGGUAGCGGGGGAUAACUAUUGGAAACGAUAGCUAAUACCGCAUAAGAGUAGAUGUUGCAUGACAUUUGCUUAAAAGGUGCAAUUGCAUCACUACCAGAUGGACCUGCGUUGUAUUAGCUAGUUGGUGAGGUAACGGCUCACCAAGGCGACGAUACAUAGCCGACCUGAGAGGGUGAUCGGCCACACUGGGACUGAGACACGGCCCAGACUCCUACGGGAGGCAGCAGUAGGGAAUCUUCGGCAAUGGACGGAAGUCUGACCGAGCAACGCCGCGGGAGUGAAGAAGGUUUUCGGAUCGUAAAGCUCUGUUGUAAGAGAAGAACGAGUGUGAGAGUGGAAAGUUCACACUGUGACGGUAUCUUACCAGAAAGGGACGGCUAACUACGUG